rnacentral:lncRNA from 1 species
GGCAAAGUACAAAAGUGUCGAAUUUUUAAACACUAAAUGCAAGUUUCAUUACAUAGCACUCGUCGCAUACAUUGAAAAGGUAGAAAGCCCUAUAGAUAAACUGAAAUCCGUAAAAGAGGGGGCCAAGGCAAAAUGUCCUUAUGAAAAAGUGAAGCUCACUGUCAAACUUACAGAGGAUGCAAACCCUAGUAUGGGAAUAUUCAUAAUCAACCUCAGGCGCAUGCCAGCGGAACCCAGGCAAUCUCCCAUCCUCGUGGAAAGUGUCUUUCAACACGCAGAGGUUCAUGAGGGCCAAGCCUUUAGGCAUUUGUCGAUCCCAACAAAAGGAACGAGCGUGAAUCCAAUAGGGAGUUCUCCAACCGACCAUAUGUAGUCGUAAUGCAUGAAGUUUUUGCACCGAAAAAAACCUAGUAAACGUAGAGAUAGAUCCUUCGAUGUUCUCACCUCCUUUGGCAUAAGCAUAUAAGCAUGAGAGUUAACAUCCAAUCGGUUGACAUAGACGUGUGAAAUAGACGUAUGGAGACGAUUAACUUACUACUUUAUUAAUUGUUACGAUUUGGUGCACUUGUCAAUUUCGUCCAUCAGGUAGAUUGUCAUAUUUUUACCAUGCUUAUCUCACCAACCAUGGAACCGAGUAUUUAGUUUUAUUUUGUAUUAUAUGUUAUAUAGUUUAUAUUCAUCGUGUUUGGGGUGAUACUUUUUGUAGUUUAUAACAUUAAAAUUCUGAUGAGUAUUUAAGUAUGCUUGUCAGGAUCCAUAUAUAAAUAACAUUGGAUUUUCGAGUCAAAGUUAGAGGUUUAUAACUUGGAAGUUUUAUUUAUUUGUCAAAUUAUUUCUCGUCAAUAUAUUAACACUUAUUGUUAAAAAAAAAUUCACAUUAUUGUUAAGAUUUAUGUUUGAUAAUAUCUAUAAUUUGAAGAUUUAAUCUCUAUUGUUAUAUGAACUUGGGAGUUUAAAUUUUCAUGUAGCCUAAGAUAUCACAUCAUGACAAGUAGAAAUUUAAUUCCAUAACUCAAAAUAAAAUAUUUUUCCUUAUUAGAGCCAACAAUUAUCCAUAAUAUAAAAUAAAAUAUGUAAUGUUUUCUUAGUUUCCAAGAUAAUAAGUCAAGAUCAAAUUAUUAAACUUGUCCCUGAUGUCAUAAUAUCAGUGACUAGAACCCUAUUUAAACAUAAACACUGAUCAAUAAAACUUUAAAUAAAAAUAUAAUAUAGGUGAGAUCAUAAAUAUCCACUUUAUUCUCAAACACAAACACAUUGAUAUCACUCCUCAAUCUUGUUUUGAGGAUAACCUGCAUAUAAUAAUUGAAAAGAAACAUGUAGAAAAUAGGGGGUGAGAUUUUAUAAUAGAAAAAGAUAUGUUUGAAUAUAAUAUAUAGAGAAAUAGGAUAUAAGUGGGUAGUUGGAAUGGAACCCGUAUCAUUAGCUUGGAUGGCUAGGGUUUAUAGUCAAUGAAAGUUUCUAUUUAAAAAUUGAACGUGAAAAUUUUGUUUCAUUUAGGGCCUUUGUAGAAUAAUUUAAGAGAUAGAUGGAAUACAUGAAGAAGAAAAUGGCAAUUAACAUCUAUGCAAGCCUUUCGGUAUGAAUACAUAUGUUAAAAUAAAUUUAAAGUGGUAAAGUAGUAUUGCAUAGAAGCAAACAAACAAAUAUACGUUUAUGACUGCAAACCAUUUGAGGCGUACACAUAAUACUAUAAGAGAUACAUAUAUCAAAUGAACCGUUCCUACACAUCUAUUAUAUAUGCAUAUCGCGUACACAUAACUUGUAUUUAAGAAAGUAUAAUUUGAUGACAAGGGAGGUAAAAGAAGAACACCACUGCUCGGUGUGAACUUUAGCAGAUUGGAAUAUCGCUACUAUUUGAAUGUUAAGCGACUAGUUAGAGUUUCUCAACUAUAAAUAUACUCUAAAAUCAAGGAAUCAUAAAGAGCCACUAGGGAUUUCACACCGAAGAGUAGUCUCCCCUUAAAUUGGGUUGACAAACCCAUGGCAUCUUCACCAUCUAAUUCAUUUAAUAUUUUCACUCAUAUUAAAGUAACUCAAUAUGAUUCAUUUUUCACAAAGUAACAUAAAAAAUUAUCAUUGUUUUAUUCUCAUGUCAAAAAUGUUAUCACCAGUCCCUCCAUUUACAAUGUAGGUAUGUUAUAAAUAUAUUAUCAUCCAAGAACUUUCACUGGCUCACUUGAGCUACGAGGCUUGGCUUAAUACUUGUAAUCACAAAAUUAUACGCAACACACAAAUUCUCAGGAGCAACCUUGUAAUUAAUUGAAAAGAAGGAUUCACUUUUGUACUAACAAGUUGUAAUCCUCAUUAAAAUAUAAAUUACCCAUUCUAUUUAUAUUUUUAUUUGUGGUUUUAAGGUUCCAUUUGUCAAUCAAAAUUUUCAAUUACAAGACAACUUUUUUGGAGCUUUUAUAACCUAUUACCUUGUAUUGGGAUGGAUUUAUAUCAUUGGGUUGGCCAUUUUUUAUUAUUCUAUUGCUUUUAGACUCAUUGGUAACGAUGAACUAACAUAACUAUAUUAAAAAUUCUAGGAAACAAAAGUGUGUGUGUGUGUGUGUAUAUAUAUAUAUAUAUAUAUAUAUAAAUAAGUCUUUGGUACUUGGAUUGAGUUUCCUUUUCCCAAGAUUCAAUCUAAAUGUGUUUCUGUGCUUCUAUAGAAUUACGUAUUGUGUAGACGUGGUUGGUGCGGUUUUCGACUUGUGUAUGUAAGAAUCACAACAGACAAAUCUGGUGUUUUUCCUUAUUGUACAUGUUGUGGCGUACUUGUGUAGGUGCUAGAGUUAUCAAAGCAUUUGUUUCGUUUCUUCAAUAUUCUAAAGUGGAUAAAAUAUCUAGUACAUAUUUGGGACGAAUAUGGUAAAAUAGUUUAUCAAUUAAUAUAUAUAGGUGAAACAAGAUCUACCAGGUAUUAAGAAGAUAAUGGUAGCUACAAUUUGUUUUUUCAUUCUUAAGAGUAUCAUCUAAAUAGAUAUAUUUUGUCAAUAUAUUGUCUAUAAUAUAAGUGUGAUAUUUUAAUUGUUUUCAUACAUUGGUAGCGUAAGAGCAUUUGGAUCAUCUUUUAUAUAUGAUAUUUUAUUUAUGUACGAAAUAUCAUAGAUGAUAUAUUUUUCAUUUUUAAUAACAUAGUUAUGUCCUCUGUAUAUUUAAAGCAGUUAUAUGUUCAUGAUGCCUUAUUAUAUGUUAACUUAAGGGUGUUAAUAUACUGUAGGUUUUUGUGUGAUCAUUGAUUAUUAUGAUCAUCAGGAUUAUAAGUAAGAUAAAAGUAUAAUAUUAUUAGGGAAACUAUGAUUAUGAUGAAAACAAAUUACAAGUAUGACAAUCGACUAAGGUUAUGGAUAUGAAUAAAAAUAUAAACAUGACUUUUUCAUACAAACAUAAAUGAUUAGUUAGUGAUUUUUAUGGACUAAGUUUCCAUGACUUAUAGAGAUUACAUAUGAAGAAUUUCAUAAGAUUUUAUUGAUGUUAUUCCACCAUUAAGUUUAUGAGGUUUUACAAGGUGUAUUACUGGUCCCAUCUUUUAGAAAGGAUAUUAUCAUUAUUUUGAACAUGGCUAAAUGCCACUAUAGUGAUCUAUUCUAGCCAAAAUUAUGGACUGCAAUAAGCUUAAAGCAUUUAGACUCCAUUAGAAGUAACAGGGUGCUUUCACAUUGUUAGCGAGACCAUUUGUGGCAUCAUAAUUUACCAGUUUAAUUGUCAACGCUUAGUUUGAUAUGCAUCAAAUACAUAUGAAUGAUCUGAAAUGAAAUUUAACGAUGAUGUAUAAUAUGAUUGAGUCGAGGAUGUAUGCUGUACUUUUUGUGUGGUGUACUUUUUUCCAUCCCAUUAUUUUGAUUUUCUAGAGUCUUAGUUCCUAUUUAAAAUGAUCCCCAUUUGCAGGGGCUUUGGAUUUUAUUGUGUUGUUGGAGUACCCCUUGUACUCCUUUUUCAAUUUGAUAUAUAUUCCACUAAAAAAAAUUAUUUAAAAUGAUUCUAAUGUGAUUAAAUAAAUUGCAAGGUCGAAGAAUUACAUGAAAGAUUAGAGAAUUAUGUUUUACCUUAGUCGGUCAAGGAAAGACAAAUACUGUUGAUGCACUCCAUGGGAUAUGGAUUGUCAGGAAAAAAUUUCAGGCAAUCGUCAUCAGUAUCACACACUACUGUAAGGUAAAUAAAGAUAAAGAAAUAUUACUAAAUAUAAAAGAAAUGUGUUGUCUAAGAUAAAAAAUAAUAAUAAUAGAAUGAGCUUACAUUCGCCAUAAAUUACAAUAAAAUACAAAGAAACAAAAAGGAUCGCAUUAUAAAUAAACUUGAGAAUUUCAGCCAUUCUAUUAAUAAAAAGGAUUUGCAUAUAUCAAAUGUUGAAUUGUCUGAUCACUUUAUAUAAUAAAAAAUUUCAUCCAAUGUUUACAUAAAGUAAAUAUUUUUUAACAACUCUUCGUUUGGACAAAAUUCCUCACAAAUAUAAUUAUUAUUAAAUAUAAUUAAAUUAAAUUUGUGUAUCAUGUUUGUCCCUUUAACCCAUGUAAUAUACAUUACAUAAAAAUGUUGUUUGUAAUUAUAGUUAAAACCAAUUCACUAAUAUUCAAUUAAUUUUUAUUACUUAUCUAGAAUUUCAGAAUAUAUAUAUUUAUGGUUGACAAAUGAUUCCCUCCAAUCCUUCUUAAAAUUAGAAACGUAAGGUGGAAACAACUUCUUACCUGGAUGCGCACUUAUAGACACCCAAGACAUCUUAUCCACACCCUUGGUCCCGUAAAAGUAAAAGAAAGCGCCAACAGAAGGUUCCAUCCCCAACGCCUCGCACAAAAUUGCAAAGCCCCGGAUUGAAUUUGAGAGGGAGCCAUGUUCGAAAAUUUCAGAAUGUCCUUAUCCGAAAGGGUAAAAGGAAUUUUUAUCCCAAACUCCUCAAGAAAAUGCGCCGUACAUAUGAAACAUUUUUUUCACACUCUUAGGGGGAUGUAUGCAAACUUUUUCUCCAGGAAAGCAGGGUGUCAACAAAAUGUCUUCCUUCCACCCAGUUGAAGAAAUGAAUAUCUUGGUCCGCAGAAAAUUUACGCUCGCCUUAUCGUGAUAGGAGGAUUCAUAGUGUUGAACAUCACCAGAAAAACCCUUCAUAUCAAGCUCGGAGCCAGACCCAUAAAGUAAACCACCAUCCCUACGAGCCACUACAAGAGGAGAGUAAACAAUGACUUCCUUCCUAGAACCACUCCUUGGAGUCGAAUACAGGAAAGCACAACAAUUGUCAUCACUAUCAUCAGAACUACUACUACUAUCACUUCCACUCGACAAUUCUUCAAUAAUCAUAUGACAAAAAUAGCUUAACUCAUACGCUCCCCAAUCGAUAAGACCAUUUGGCCGCGUAGCAUGCCUCAAACACGCUCCUCAGUUUUUCCUUUUCAACGGGAUCCGUGGGAAAAAACUCCUUGCCCAAAAACUCCGUACCCUAAAUAAAUACUAAAAAUAGAAGGGAUGAGGAAGAAUAAUACCUGAAAUCAAAAGAGAAAAGCCUUUCCCGGAGUAACAACUGAAUUGGAAGUAAGGUGGAACACAAAGACGAGACAGGCGGCCGGAGAAAAAAGUAAGGAAGAAUUGAAAAAUGAAAGAAAAGGGACUACCUUUANAUUGGUUGGACACAACGACCUAAUAGAUUCGAUGACUUGAUCAUUGCGCUGAAGUUACACACUCUUACAGUUUCUAGAAAAUUCUAGAAAUUGGGAGCAUUGAAGAGAAGGAAAAGUAUUGUGUAAGUCAUUCAGAAAUAUUGUUAUAAAAUAGUUAGAGAGUGCACUAUCUGGAAGCUUUUUGAGGUCCUUGAUCCUCUAUAGACAGUGCAACUUGAUUCAGUCUAGUUUCCACUAUUGGUUUAUUUUAAUGGUUGAGAUAUGAAUGCUUUUAACCAUUGUAUUAAUCCAAAUGUCUGUUGUUGUCUGACCAACCAUAGAGAAUUUAGGUUCGAUUCUUUUUUGACGUAUUAAUAUAACUAAAUUUCGGAUUUUGAUUAUCUCCUUUUAUUUUUAUCUCGAUUUAUCUCCUAACUUUAUCAAAAUUCUUAAUGAGAUAUUAAUCUAACUAAAUUAUAGUGUUCAAUGUUGUUCAUCAUGUUGUAGAUUGGUUCUCCUAUUUUGUUAUGGAUUGUUCAUAUUUGAAUGAGAUUUAAAUAAUUUUUUAAUUGAUGAUUUAAAUAAGGGUUAAUAGUGUUUUUCACCCCUGUAAUAUAUGUCAUUUUCGGUUUUCGCCCCUAUAAUAUUUUCGGUUUGAUUUGCAUCCUCGUAAAUAAAAAAAUCCGAAAAACCCCCAUCCCCUGUCCAACUUACUAAAUUUGCUUAUGUGGCGCUGACUUGGUUUUUUAUUUAUAUUUUUAAUUGGCCACAUCGGAUUUUAUUAUUAAAAUUUUUAAAAAUUCAAAAAAUAAUAUAAAUUCAUUUAUAUUAAUUAAAAAAUAUAAAAAUUAUUUAAAAAUUUUGAAAAUUAAUUUUUGAAAAUAAAAAAAUUGUAAAAAUGAAAUAAUUUUUUUUACGGAAUUUUUCUAAAAAAAAUCUGGAAUAUUUUUUUAUUACCAAAAAAAUUAAAAAAAAUAAGAAAAAAAAACUAUAAGAAACCCUAGUUAGUUUCUUAUUAGCAAAAAAUGAAAUCUAGUUAAAAAAAUGAGUAACAAACCUUGUUCUAUUAGCAAAAACUCUUUUCCCCUUCACAUACAAACGAGUAGAACAUCAAUGGCCUUUCAAUUUUUAUUUUUAUUUUCAUUUUCCCCAAUUUCUUCCCAAAACCCUAGUUUCUAAUUGAAAAAGAUGAACAACGGGGUCUAAUACACGUUGUCAAGCCCAAAACGUUGCGUUUCGUGCCCAGUCACCAAGUUAACGACCACAUCAUCGUUAUAUUAACGGACACUGACGGGAAGGACAAUGUUUCUAACAUUCAGAAACUAAAAGGAUCUAAUUAGAACUUCAAAAAAAAUAUUUAAAAGGACUAAUCUGAAACAAACACAAACCUUAAAGCCCGUCGGAUGCAUUUUGCCAAAAGUAUAAAGUAAUUAAUGAUUAUGGGACUAGCUUAGUGAUAGGACCCUCUCUCCAAAUUGUACUAUACUCCAUUUAUUAUGUCAAAUAGAGAGGAUCCUAACCAAGUUUGGAUUAGUUGCAGAAAACCAUGAAAGUGUAAAAGCGCAUAUGAAAAAAGUGAUGCAGGCAGCUGUAAAUGAAACAAGGGAGAUGAUGUACCAUUUUACCAAUUGCUAUUUGAAAAAAUAACAUAAGAGCUGUGAAGCACGAAUACGGACACGACACGGACAUCGACACGUCGACACAGCUAAAUUUUUAAAAAAAUCAUAAAAUGCAGUGUAAUUAUAUGUAUCAAUGUCGGACAUGACACGUGUCUGACAUGGGGAUACGCCUUAUUCAAGGAGUGUUCGUGCUUCAUAGCACAAGAGCUAUAAUCAGGAGUAUCUGCAGUGUUAUGUUCCUUCAUGAAUUUACCAUAAUUUGAUGACAUAUUCAUUAAAGCUAAGAUAGUUAUUAGCAUGGUUCGUGUCAUUAUGAUCAAAGCUACAUGCUCAAACACCUGAUCUCUGUCAAAAAGAAAAUUAAUGAUGAGAUUUGCAACGUAUAUACAUUGGUUACUUUCUUAUUUCUUUCUUUGAACUAAAUGAAAUAGAACAGCGCUAAAUGGUGCGACACAUUGUAUGCACGAAAAUGCAUGACAGCGAGAAAACAUGACAUUUUGACUUUUCUAUCAUGAACUAAAACUUGAUUUGCUCAUAGUAUAGUACAUGCAUUGUCCUUCAUGCAAGAUAUCCUAAAAAUGGUUUUAAAAAAAGCACAUAUUUUAACAAACCACAAUAAUGGUGAAAAGUCUUUGGUUUCAUGGGUANUAUGGAGACGAUUAACUUACUACUUUAUUAAUUGUUACGAUUUGGUGCACUUGUCAAUUUCGUCCAUCAGGUAGAUUGUCAUAUUUUUACCAUGCUUAUCUCACCAACCAUGGAACCGAGUAUUUAGUUUUAUUUUGUAUUAUAUGUUAUAUAGUUUAUAUUCAUCGUGUUUGGGGUGAUACUUUUUGUAGUUUAUAACAUUAAAAUUCUGAUGAGUAUUUAAGUAUGCUUGUCAGGAUCCAUAUAUAAAUAACAUUGGAUUUUCGAGUCAAAGUUAGAGGUUUAUAACUUGGAAGUUUUAUUUAUUUGUCAAAUUAUUUCUCGUCAAUAUAUUAACACUUAUUGUUAAAAAAAAAUUCACAUUAUUGUUAAGAUUUAAGUUUGAUAAUAUCUAUAAUUUGAAGAUUUAAUUUCUAUUGUUAAAGCCUUAUAUAAACUUGGGAGUUUAAAUUUUCAUGUAGCCUAAGAUAUCACAUCAUGACAAGUAGAAAUUUAAUUCCAUAACUCAAAAUAAAAUAUUUUUCCUUAUUAGAGCCUUACAAUUAUCCAUAAUAUAAAAUAAAAUAUGUAAUGUUUUCUUAGUUUCCAAGAUAAUAAGUCAAGAUCAAAUUAUUAAACUUGUCCCUGAUGUCAAAAUAUCAGUGACUAGAACCCUAUUUAAACAUAAACACUGAUCAAUAAAACUUUAAAUAAAAAUAUAAUAUAGGUGAGAUCAUAAAUAUCCACUUUAUUCUAAAACACAAACACAUUGAUAUCACUCCUCAAUCUUGUUUUGAGGAUAACCUGCAUAUAAUAAUAGAAAAGAAACAUGUAGAAAAUAGGGGGUGAGAUUUUAUAAUAGAAAAAGAUAUGUUUGAAUAUAAUAUAUAGAGAAAUAGGAUAUAAGUGGGUAGUUGGAAUGGAACCCGUAUCAUUAGCUUGGAUGGCUAGGGUUUAUAGUCAAUGAAAGUUUCUAUUUAAAAAUUGAACGUGAAAAUUUUGUUUCAUUUAGGGCCUUUGUAGAAUAAUUUAAGAGAUAGAUGAAAUACAUGAAGAAGAAAAUGGCAAUUAACAUCUAUGCAAGCCUUUCGGUAUGAAUACAUAUGUUAAAAUAAAUUUAAAGUGGUAAAGUAGUAUUGCAUAGAAGCAAACAAACAAAUAUACGUUUAUGACUGCAAACCAUUUGAGGCGUACACAUAAUACUAUAAGAGAUACAUAUAUAAAAUGAAACGUUCCUACACAUCUAUUAUAUAUGCAUAUCGCGUACACAUAACUUGUAUUUAAGAAAGUAUAAUUUGAUGACAAGGGAGGUAAAAGAAGAACACCACAGCUCGAUGUGAACUUUAGCAAAUUGAAAUAUCACUACUAUUUGAAUGUUAAGCGACUAGUUAGAGUUUCUCAACUAUAAAUAUACUCUAAAAUCAAGGAAUCAUAAAGAGCCACUAGGGAUUUCACACCGAAGAGUAGUCUCCCCUUAAAUUGGGUUGACAAACCCAUGGCAUCUUCACCAUCUAAUUCAUUUAAUAUUUUCACUCAUAUAUUAAAAUAAUUCAAUAUGAUUCAUUUUUCACAAAAAAACAUAAAAAAUUAUCAUUGUUUUAUUCUCAUGUCAAAAAUGUUAUCAACAGUCCCUCCAUUUACAAUGUAGGUAUGUUAUAAAUAUAUUAUCAUCCAAGAACUUUCACUGACUCACUUGAGCUACGAGGCUUGGCUCAAUACUAUUAAUCACAAAAUUAUACGCAACACACAAAUUCUCAUGAGCAACCUAGUAAUUAAUUGAAAAGAAUGAUUCACUUUUGUACUAACAAGUUGUAAUCCUCAUUAAAAUAUAAAUUACCCAUUCUAUUUAUAUUUUUAUUUGUGGUUUUAAGGUUCCAUUUGUCAAUCAAAAUUUUCAUUUACAAGACAACUUUUUUGGAGCUUUUAUAAUCUAUUAUUUGAGUUUGAUAUGUUUCUUCAACCUAAUUACCUUGUAUUUUGGGAUGGAUUUAUAUCAUUAGGUUGGCCAUUUUUUAUUAUGCUAUUGCUUUUAGACUCAUUGGUAACGAUGAACUAACAUAACUAUAUUAAAAAUUCUAGGAAACAAAAGUAUGUAUAUAUAUAUAUAUAUAUAUAUAUAUAUAUAUAUAUAAAAGUCUUUGGUACUUGGAUUGAGUUUCCUUUUCCCAAGAUUCAAUCUAACUGUGUUUCUGUGCUUCUUUCAAAUUACGUAGUGUUUGGUGCGGUUUUCGACUUGUGUAUGUAAGAAUCACAACAGACAAAUCUGGUGUUUUUCCUUAUUGUACAUGUUGUGGCGUACUUGUGUAGGUGCUAGAGUUAUCAAAGCAUUUGUUUCGUUUCUUCAAUAUUCUAAAGUGGAUAAAAUAUCUAGUACAUAUUUAGGACGAAUAUGGUAAAAUAGUUUAUCAAUUAAUAUAUAUAGGGUGAAACAAGAUCUACCAGGUAUUAAAAAGAUAAUGGUAGCUAUGAUUUGUUUUUUCAUUCUUAAGAGUAUCAUCUAAAUAGAUAUAUUUUGUCAAUAUAUUGUCUAUAAUAUAAGUGUGAUAUUUUAAUUGUUUUCAUACAUUGGUAGAGUAAGAGCAUUUGGAUCAUCUUUUAUAUAUGAUAUUUUAUUUAUGUACGAAAUAUCAUAGAUGAUAUAUUUUUCAUUUUUAAUAAAAUAGUUAUGUCCUCUGUAUAUUUAAAGCAGUUAUAUGUUCAUGAUGCCUUAUUAUAUGUUAACUUAAGGGUGUUAAUAUAAUGUAGGUUUUUGUGUAAUCAUUGAUUAUUAUGAUCAUAAGGAUUAUAAGUAAGAUAAAAGUAUAAUAUUAUUAGGGAAACUAUGAUUAUGAUGAAAACAAAUUACAAGUAUGACAAUCGACUAAGGUUAUGAAUAUGAAUAAAAAUAUAAACAUGACUUUUUCAUACAAACAUAAAUGAUUAGUUAGUGAUAUUUAUGGACUAAGUUUCCAUGACUUAUAGAGAUUAAAUAUGAAGAAUUUCAUAAGAUUUAAUUGAUGUUAUUCCACCAUUAAGUUUAUGAGGUUUAACAAGGUGUAUUACUGGUCCCAUCUUUUAGAAAGGAUAUUAUCAUUAUUUUGAACAUGGCUAAAUGCCACUAUAGUGAUCUAUUCUAGCCAAAAUUAUGGACUGCAAUAAGCUUAAAGCAUUUAGACUCCAUUAGAAGUAACAGGGUGCUUUCACAUUGUUAGCGAGACCAUUUGUGGCAUCAUAAUUUACCAGUUUAAUUGUCAACGCUUAGUUUGAUAUGCAUCAAAUACAUAUGAAUGAUCUGAAAUGAAAUUUAACGAUGAUGUAUAAUAUGAUUGAGUCGAGGAUGUAUGCUGUACUUUUUGUGUGGUGUACUUUUUUCCAUCCCAUUAUUUUGAUUUUCUAGAGUCUUAGUUCCUAUUUAAAAUGAUCCCCAUUAGCAGGGGCUUUGGAUUUUAUUGUGUUGUUGGAGUACCCCUUGUACUCCUUUUUCAAUUUGAUAUAUAUUCCACUAAAAAAAAAUAUUUAAAAUGAUUCUAAUGUGAUUAAAUAAAUUGCAAGGUCGAAGAAUUACAUGAAAGAUUAGAGAAUUAUGUUUUACCUUAGUCGGUCAAGGAAAGACAAAUACUGUUGAUGCACUCCAUGGGAUAUGGAUUGUCAGGAAAAAAUUUCAGGCAAUCGUCAUCAGUAUCACACACUACUGUAAGGUAAAUAAAGAUAAAGAAAUAUUACUAAAUAUAAAAGAAAUGUGUUGUCUAAGAUAAAAAAUAAUAAUAAUAGAAUGAGCUUACAUUCGCCAUAAAUUAC